GUCGUAGUGACCUGCGGAGGAUCAUUA
rnacentral:rRNA from 1 species